GUACACUCCUACGGGAGGCAGCAGUGGGGAAUAUUGCACAAUGGGCGCAAGCCUGAUGCAGCCAUGCCGCGUGUAUGAAGAAGGCCUUCGGGUUGUAAAGUACUUUCAGCGGGGAGGAAGGUGUUGAGGUUAAUAACCUCAGCAAUUGACGUUACCCGCAGAAGAAGCACCGGCUAACUCCGUGCCAGCAGCCGCGGUAAUACGGAGGGUGCAAGCGUUAAUCGGAAUUACUGGGCGUAAAGCGCACGCAGGCGGUCUGUCAAGUCGGAUGUGAAAUCCCCGGGCUCAACCUGGGAACUGCAUUCGAAACUGGCAGGCUAGAGUCUUGUAGAGGGGGGUAGAAUUCCAGGUGUAGCGGUGAAAUGCGUAGAGAUCUGGAGGAAUACCGGUGGCGAAGGCGGCCCCCUGGACAAAGACUGACGCUCAGGUGCGAAAGCGUGGGGAGCAAACAGGAUUAGAAACCCUAGUAGUCCCA
rnacentral:rRNA from 1 species